UUGUGCCACAACUGUAUGUUUUGGUGGUAUAGAGCCAACCCUAGCAGUUGUUCAGACUCAGUUCAUGUAAACAUCCUACACUCAGCUGGAAUCAGAUGCAGCGGCGGCUGAGAGAAGGUUGUUUACUUGCACUGGCUGAGAUUGACACAUGGACACGAGGACAGCACGAUGCUGGCAUUUUCAUCAAGGACAAAUGGGACAGAAUCGUGCUGUGACUGACCAAAACUGAAACACGAGUUGUGCCGCCCUGCUUUCACUCUUGAGGCGAGGCAAAACAAAGGGAACAGUACACUGAGCCGUGCCUAGUUGGUGGAGUCAGUGUUUAUGCUGGCCUGUAAACCGAUCGAGCCUGCAUGCCUUGCACACAGGUCUUCUAAAACACAGCUUUUUUUUUUUGCUUUGGACAUUUUUCCAACCGCAAAUCUAAUUCUAAGUCCCUGAGAAGCAGUCUUAAGAAAACACGUGACUUGUGCUUGUUUUUACCUUCAAGGCAAAGCAAGUUUUGACUUGUAAUGUCAGAUAUUUACUAAAGUCUGCAGUACUAUAGUAUUAAAUGUUUUAAGAAGGAGGAAUGGGAGUCUUAAUAACCAAAAUAUACCUUUGCAUGUUUGAACUCUGUAUUUGCAUGAUCCUUGUUUGUAAGUACAAGUUCAUUAAGACCAUUCCUGUUAAUUAUUUAAAAAAUUGUUGGAUAAAAUCAGGUUUGACUAAAUUAUUUAAAUCUAUGCCGUUUUUAUCAUGAAUUAUGUGGUUGAGCUUGUCAUGUAAAGAUUUAAAGCACCCAAGGUUAAAGGGAACAAUGAGGUGUUUUUUUCUGCUCCAUCAGAUUUUCUGUUCCUGCUUUCAUGUCAGCCUUUUAAAUAGACCUCUAUAAAUAGAGGCCCUGGUGUGGGUUCAGUCAGAGCAGCCUAAUUUCAGGUUUCAUACAUUAAUCAGCUAGAUUAGGCUGCUUCAGAAAACUUGGGUCAUGUGUGCAAUUUAUAUGCAUCUCUGUGCUAAUCAACAGUAUUGACUGCAGCCUUAGUCGGUGUUAAGGCAUCAUGUCUCCCACAGCAGCCAAUCAACUGUACUACUAUUUUAUGUAAUCAUGUCAAUAGACUGAUGUUGUUUCGUUGACCUUUCAACUGUGUUUUGUAAAGUUUGUGUUUUAUGUAUGUAGAUAAUAAAACUGUUUGAACCAAUAAAAUGGACAGUGGAAAACAA